rnacentral:rRNA from 1 species
CCUACGGGGGGCAGCAGUGAGGAAUAUUGGUCAAUGGACGCAAGUCUGAACCAGCCAUGCCGCGUGAAGGAUGAAGGCCUUCUGGGUUGUAAACUUCUUUUACCUGGGAAGAAACCACUUUUUUCUAAAAGUGUUGACGGUACCAGAGGAAUAAGCACCGGCUAACUCCGUGCCAGCAGCCGCGGUAAUACGGAGGGUGCAAGCGUUAUCCGGAUUUACUGGGUUUAAAGGGUGUGUAGGCGGGCUUUUAAGUCAGUGGUGAAAUCUCCGGGCUCAACCUGGAAACUGCCAUUGAUACUAUUAGUCUUGAAUUUUGUUGAGGUAGGCGGAAUAAGUCAUGUAGCGGUGAAAUGCUUAGAUAUGACUUAGAACACCAAUUGCGAAGGCAGCUUGCUAAACAAAUAUUGACGCUGAGGCACGAAAGCGUGGGGAUCAAACAGGAUUAGAUACCCGUGUAGUC